CACAUAUUCGUCCCCACAGCAUUUGCAUUGCACUAUGUUUCGUGUCCAUGCUGCCUGUGCCACGAGGAAGGCCUUGUACCUUGCAAAAUUUACUGCUUUCUCGAGGAGAUCAGCUACAUUUGAAGAUUCACCAACGUCAAUGCCACAUUAUGAGUCACUGGUAGAUAGGGGUUUAUACCUGGAAAGAGAGUAUCGCAGGUCCGCAAAGGCCCGGAUAUUUGGUGUCUCUGUGCUGGAUGGUGGCAAGAAUGUAGAAAUACAGUGGAGUAAUGGCACCUACUCAA